UACGUAGGGUGCGAGCGUUAAUCGGAAUUAUUGGGCGUAAAGCGCGUGUAGGCGGCUUUGCAAGUCGGGUGUGAAAGCCCUCAGCUCAACUGAGGAAGUGCGCCCGAAACUGCAGAGCUUGAGUGCCGGAGAGGGUGGCGGAAUUCCCCAAGUAGAGGUGAAAUUCGUAGAUAUGGGGAGGAACACCGGUGGCGAAGGCGGCCACCUGGACGGUAACUGACGCUGAGACGCGAAAGCGUGGGGAGCAAACAGG
rnacentral:rRNA from 1 species